rnacentral:rRNA from 1 species
GACGAACGCUGGCGGCGUGCUUAACACAUGCAAGUCGAACGGAAAGGCCCUGCUUUUGUGGGGUGCUCGAGUGGCGAACGGGUGAGUAACACGUGAGUAACCUGCCCUUGACUUUGGGAUAACUUCAGGAAACUGGGGCUAAUACCGGAUAGGAGCUCCUGCUGCAUGGUGGGGGUUGGAAAGUUUCGGCGGUUGGGGAUGGACUCGCGGCUUAUCAGCUUGUUGGUGGGGUAGUGGCUUACCAAGGCUCUGGCGGGUAGCCGGCCUGAGAGGGUGACCGGCCACAUUGGGACUGAGAUACGGCCCAGACUCCUACGGGAGGCAGCAGUGGGGAAUAUUGCACAAUGGGCGGAAGCCUGAUGCAGCAACGCCGCGUGCGGGAUGACGGCCUUCUGGUUGUAAACCGCUUUCGCCUGUGACGAAGCGUGAGUGACGGUAAUGGGUAAAGAAGCACCGGCUAACUACGUG